CGCGGGAUGGAGCAGUCUGGUAGCUCGUCGGGCUCAUAACCCGAAGGUCGUCGGUUCAAAUCCGGCUCCCGCA
rnacentral:tRNA from 12 species